rnacentral:rRNA from 1 species
CCCUUAGAUGUUCUGGGCCGCACGCGCGCUACACUGACGAAGUCAGCGAGCAUGUCCUACGCCGACAGGUGCGGGGAAUCUUGUCAAACUUCGUCGUGAUGGGGAUUGAUUAUUGAAAUUCUUGAUCAUCAACGAGGAAUUCCUAGUAAGCGCAAGUCAGCAGCUUGCGUUGAUUACGUCCCUGCCCCUUGUACACACCGCCCGUCGCUACUACCGAUUGAAUGGUUUAGUGAGAUCUUCGGAUUGGCGCCACUGCGGCUCAGCAAUGGGCUCGGUGGAUGCCGAAAAGUUGAUCAAACUUGAUCAUUUAGAGGAAGUAAAAGUCGUAACA